rnacentral:rRNA from 1 species
GAUGAACGCUGGCGGCGUGCCUAAUACAUGCAAGUCGAGCGAACAAACGAGGAUCUUGCCUGUCUUACGUUACGGACGGACGAGUGAUGAAUACGUGGCUAACCGACCUAUAAGACUGGGGUAACUUCGCGAAACCUGAUCUAAUACCGGUUAAUAGAGUGAACGGCAGGGUUCAAUAGUCAACACCGUAUUUGCUGUGACUUAUACAUGGUUCCGCGCCGCAUUAGCUAGUUGGUAAGGUAACGGCUUACCAAGGCAACGAUGCGUAGCUGACCUGAGAGGGUGAUCAGCCACACUGGAACUGAGACACGGUCCAGACUCCUACGGGAGGCAGCAGUAGGGAAUCUUCCACAAUGGGCGAAAGCCUGAUGGAGCAACGCCGCGUGAGUGAAGAAGGUCUUCGGAUCGUAAAACUCUGUUAUUAGGGAAGAACAAAUGUGAAAGUAACUCUGCACGUCUUGACGGUACCUAAUCAGAAAGCCACGGCUAACUACGUG